CGAGGAGUGGUGCAGCAUGGUAGCACGCCUGCUUCGGGAGCAGGAGGUCACGGGUUCAAAUCCCGUCUCUUCGACCA
rnacentral:tRNA from 1 species